AUUAUUUUAUGUCAUUAUUAAUUUACCCCCCUGUUAUAUUAUCUCAUUAUUUAACCACCCUGUUUUUUUAUGAGAUAAAAUAACAGGGUGGUAAAAUACUUAAUGAGUGA